rnacentral:rRNA from 1 species
AGAACGAACGCUGGCGGCAGGCUUAACACAUGCAAGUCGAACGCUCGUAGCAAUACGGGAGUGGCAGACGGGUGAGUAACGCGUGGGAACAUACCCUCCGGUUCGGAAUAGCUCAGGGAAACUUGGAUUAAUACCGGAUACGGCUGAGAGGCGAAAGAUUUAUCGCCGGAGGAUUGGCCCGCGUUCGAUUAGCUUGUUGGUGAGGUAAUGGCUCACCAAGGCGAUGAUCGAUAGCUGGUCUGAGAGGAUGAUCAGCCACAUUGGGACUGAGACACGGCCCAAACUCCUACGGGAGGCAGCAGUGGGGAAUAUUGGACAAUGGGCGCAAGCCUGAUCCAGCCAUGCCGCGUGAGUGAUGACGGCCUUAGGGUUGUAAAGCUCUUUCGCUCGGGACGAUAAUGACGGUACCGAGAUAAGAAGCCCGGCUAACUUCGUGCCAGCAGCCGC